UGUUUGAAGGAGCAUCUUGCAAAUAUAUGAAAGGAAAAGGACUAAUUUGCUAUUUGUAAUACCCAUUCAUGCCUACGAGAACAUCCCACUUUUUGUAAUCUAUGCACCUGAUGCAUGGAUUAACCUAUGCGCCAGGUUCAAAAUUUGAACUCAAAUUUCUCCAUGCACCUACUGCAUGGAUCAUCUCAUACACCAUUAUUCAAUUUUCUCUCCUUCUGCCUUUUUUCUUUCUCCUUUUUUUUCUUCUUCUUCCUCUUUUUUUUAUGCUUCAACAACCUCAAAUCCCGAU
rnacentral:lncRNA from 1 species